CCUUCUGAGUCACGGAAAGUCAGUUGAUCAGGAACUGUAACUGUAUCUGUACAGUCCCUUCCCUUUUGCACUUUCUAUGGUGAAUACAAGUUACAGGUCUCACUCACACUCACAGAAAGAUUUCAGAGAGGAGACACAGAGGUCAAGAAAGUAAAGUGAGGAUUUACGAAGCGACAGCGCACUCUCAUUGCGGGACCGGGCAGACUCAUGGCACUUGUCACCCCAAAAUGUGUGGUUUCCUGUCAGUCCAGAGGUUCCUUUCUCUGUCUGUCCAAGGGCCACCGUUGUCUACAAGCUGUACGGUUUCCUGCCAUCUGGCCCGUGCCCCGCCUCCUCUGCGCGUAUCUAGCCACCUGCCUGCUGUAACACCAUGGCCCACUACUCGCUUUGUACAUGUAGAUCUGGACUGUGUAAACUGUCAAUAAUACACCAUCUGGCGUAUAA